GGAUGAACGCUGGCGGCGUGCCUAAUACAUGCAAGUCGAGCGAACGGACGAGAAGCUUGCUUUUCUGAUGUUAGCGGCGGACGGGUGAGUAACACGUGGAUAACCUACCUAUAAGACUGGGAUAACUUCGGGAAACCGGAGCUAAUACCGGAUAAUAUUUUGAACCGCAUGGUUCAAAAGUGAAAGACGGUCUUGCUGUCACUUAUAGAUGGAUCCGCGCUGCAUUAGCUAGUUGGUAAGGUAACGGCUCACCAAGGCAACGAUGCAUAGCCGACCUGAGAGGGUGAUCGGCCACACUGGAACUGAGACACGGUCCAGACUCCUACGGGAGGCAGCAGUAGGGAAUCUUCCGAAAUAGGCGAAAGCCUGACGGAGCAACGCCGCGUGAGUGAUGAAGGUCUUCGGAUCGUAAAACUCUGUUAUUAGGGAAGAACAUAUGUGUAAGUAACUGUGCACAUCUUGACGGUACCUAAGCAGAAAGCCACGGCUAACUACGUG
rnacentral:rRNA from 1 species